rnacentral:rRNA from 1 species
ACUCCAUGAAGCUGGAUUCGCUAGUAAUCGCGCAUCAGCCAUGGCGCGGUGAAUACGUUCCCGGGCCUUGUACACACCGCCCGUCAAGCCAUGGGAGCCGGGAGUGCCUGAAGUGCGUGACCGCAAGGAGCGCCCUAAGGCAAGACCGGUGACUGGGGCUAAGUCGUAACAAGGUAGC